rnacentral:rRNA from 1 species
GGGGAAGACGGGACGGGAGCGGCGGGAGUGCGUGGGGGGAAAGCGGUGUGCGGGAGCGUGUGUGGGAAAGCGCGGGGAGGCGGCGGGGGAAGUCCGCUCUGAAAGGCCGGGGGUCAACCCCGGGAGGCGGGCGGAAAGUGUCGGGGUAGAGUCCGGAAGAGGCGAGUGGAAUUCCCGGUGUAGCGGGGAAAUGCGCAGAUAUCGGGAGGAACACCAAUGGCGAAGGCAGCUCGCUGGGACGUGACUGACGCUGAGACGCGAAAGCGUGGGGAGCAAACAGGAUUAGAUACCCCUGUAGUC